rnacentral:rRNA from 1 species
AUUGAACGCUGGCGGCAGGCCUAACACAUGCAAGUCGAGCGGAUGAACGGGGCUUGCCCUUGGAUCGAGCGGCGGACGGGUGAGUAAUGCCUAGGAAUCUGCCCGGUAGUGGGGGAUAACGUCGGGAAACGGGCGCUAAUACCGCAUACGUCCUGAGGGAGAAAGCGGGGGAUCUUCGGACCUCACGCUAUCAGAUGAGCCUAGGGCGGAUUAGCUAGUUGGUGGGGUAAAGGCCUACCAAGGCGACGAUCCGUAACUGGUCUGAGAGGAUGAUCAGUCACACUGGAACUGAGACACGGUCCAGACUCCUACGGGAGGCAGCAGUGGGGAAUAUUGGACAAUGGGCGAAAGCCUGAUCCAGCCAUGCCGCGUGUGUGAAGAAGGUCUUCGGAUUGUAAAGCACUUUUAGUUGGGAGGAAGAGGAGUGAGUUAAUACCUUGCUGUUUUGACGGUACCAGCAGAAUAAGCACCGGCUAACUUCGUG